CUAAUACCUAAAGUGCUGAACAUCUGAACAUGUUCAUUUGAAAAACGGUUUCGGCUGUCACUGUGAGAUGGACCCGCGCUGGAUUAACUAGUUGGUAAGGUAAUGGCUUACCAAGGCGACUAUCCAUAGCCGACCUGAGAGGGUGAUCGGCCACAUUGGGACUGAGACACGGCCCAAACUCCUACGGGAGGCAGCAGUAGGGAAUCUUCGGCAAUGGACGAAAGUCUGACCGAGCAACGCCGCGUGAGCGAAGAAGGCCUUCGGGUCGUAAAGCUCUGUUGUUAGAGAAGAACAUGGGUGAGAGUAACUGUUCACCCCUUGACGGUAUCUAACCAGAAAGCCACGGCUAACUACGUGCCAGCAGCCGCGGUAAUACGUAGGUGGCAAGCGUUGUCCGGAAUUAUUGGGCGUAAAGCGCGCGCAGGCGGUCUCUUAAGUCUGAUGUGAAAGCCCCCGGCUCAACCGGGGAGGGUCAUUGGAAACUGGGAGACUUGAGGACAGAAGAGGAGAGUGGAAUUCCAAGUGUAGCGGUGAAAUGCGUAGAUAUUUGGAGGAACACCAGUGGCGAAGGCGGCUCUCUGGUCUGUUACUGACGCUGAGGCGCGAAAGCGUGGGGAGCAAACAGGAUUAGAUACCCUGGUAGUCCACGCCGUAAACGAUGAGUGCUAAGUGUUAGGGGGUUUCCGCCCCUUAGUGCUGCAGUUAACGCAUUAAGCACUCCGCCUGGGGAGUACGACCGCAAGGUUGAAACUCAAAGGAAUUGACGGGGGCCCGCACAAGCGGUGGAGCAUGUGGUUUAAUUCGAAGCAACGCGAAGAACCUUACCAGGUCUUGACAUCCUUUGACCAUUCUGGAGACAGAACUUUCCCUUCGGGGACAAAGUGACAGGUGGUGCAUGGUUGUCGUCAGCUCGUGUCGUGAGAUGUUGGGUUAAGUCCCGCAACGAGCGCAACCCUUGAUUUUAGUUGCCAGCAUUUAGUUGGGCACUCUAAAGUGACUGCCGGUGUAAGCCGGAGGAAGGUGGGGAUGACGUCAAAUCAUCAUGCCCCUUAUGACCUGGGCUACACACGUGCUACAAUGGAUAAUACAAAGGGUCGCGAGACCGCGAUCAGGAGCCAAUCCCAUAAAAUUAUUUUCAGUUCGGAGGGCAGGUUCCAACUUCCUUGCCAGAAGCGGGAAUGGGUUGUAAUAGUAGAUCAUCAUGCUACGGCGAAUACGUUCCCGGGCCUA
rnacentral:rRNA from 1 species